rnacentral:lncRNA from 1 species
GUGAGCUGAGAACCCACUGCGCGCGGGACUCUGCUGCGCCUGCCCUCCCGGGCUGCAGAGGGCAGGACGCACCGCCAGCUUCUUUUCCAGCCCACAUUUGGAAGCAACCGGCACCCACGCAGGUUCUGGAACUUGCCAAGGUUCCAGGGGUUGAGCCCACUCCAUCCUGUCCAAAGGCAGAAGCCUCCUCCAAGUCCUGCACGAUCCGCCCUCUAACAUGCAAGCCCAUCUGGAACCUCUGGAAUCCUACUGGGCUUCUUCGCUCCCUAAAGUUUACAGACCCAGGGCAAAAUAGGGAACUGCAAAUCCAAGUGGCCCAGAGGUCUCUCCACCCCCACUCUGCCCUCUCUGGGCCUGAGCCUGACAGGAGAUUCCCAGCACAUCUGGUUGUACUUAAAUCAUCCAGCACUACUGGAGUAGGUUCCCUGCUUCUCUCCCUUCAGCCCCAGCCUCCUCCCCUUCCUACACCAGCCUUCCAGGUCUCUCCUCCAGGAUGCCUUCCCUAACUCAUCCAGCCUCGGUAUCUGCACCCCACCCUUGAACCUCCACCUCUUUGGGUCUGGAGUCUGCCAGGGUGUGGAAGGGAGGGUGUGUGCUCCGCAAGACUCAGUGUGUAGAAUCUCAUCCUUCCCGAGCAUUGGUCCUAGAUAGAAACCUUCCCUUCAGGUAAGGAAGGGAGCCAGCCAAGAGCCUCCCCUCUGCUCCCUUGGCCUCAGGGGUGGCUGUCUCCAGUUAUGGGUGUGUACAGUGGGGAGGAACAAGUUCAGAUCCAGGCAGAGCCAUUCCUUUGGCAACUCUUGCUGUCAGCCAUCUUCCAAAGAGCUUUGCAAAAUGUUAAAGAACAAAAGAGAAAUAAAUACAGAGAAUAUAGCAAGUAUAAAAAUGCACAGUCUAGGCCAGGCACGGUGGCUCACACCUGUAAUCCUAGCACUUUGGGAGGCUGAGGCAGAUGGAUCACUUGAGGUCAGGAAUUUGAAACCAGCCUGGCCAAGAUGGUGAAACCCCAUCUCUACUAAAAAUACAAAAAUUAGCCAGGUGUGGUGGCGGGCACCUGUAGUCCCAGCUAUUUGGGAGGCUGAGGCAGAAGAAUUACUUGAACCCCGGAAGUGGAGGUUGUAGUGAGCCAAGAUCACACCACUGCACCCCAGCCUGGCUGACAAAGCAAGAUUCUGUCUCAAAAAAAAAAAAAAAAAAAAAAAAGAAUGCACGGACUCUAAAGAACAAGUUUGUAACCUACCAUGACCUGCUCCACCAGGGCUCCAGGUUUGAAUGUUCAUUCAUUCUUUUAUUCAAUAGCAUGUACUGAUGCCUGAGUCUACUAAGUUCUAGGAACAGUGACUCAAGUAAGAUCCCAGGGUCAGUGGGGGACAGGAACAGGUGGAUGAACAAAUGCUGCAUGCUGUAAUGGACAUGAGUCAGGGAGACAGAGGGGUGCCAAGGUUGAAGGUCAGAGACCCUGGACUGAAUCCCACCUCUGUCACUUUCUGCACUGUCUCUGGGGAGCCACUUAAUCUUGGGGAGCCUGUCUCCCCACCUGGAAAAGGACGAUGAUGUGACCUCACAGGGUCGUAGUGGGACUCAAAUAAGAUAAUGUGUGUGAAAACGCCUUGCAAAGUGCUAAGUGAGUUGUUGCUAUUAUGAUUAGGCUCAGGGGCUGCCUAUCUGACACUCAUUUUUCUAAUGCCUCAACAGCUGUCUCUCUUACCCUCCCAGGGCAGGUACCACGUUGGAGAAACUUCUGAGGGUGAAGGACACCCACCCUAGAGUAGUGGGCAGUUAAGCUGCCCGCAUAGACACACACACACACACUUUAGUUACACAAGCAGAACACCUUUUUAUAAAAAUUCGAAAGGCAUCAUGUGCCUACAGCCUCAGUUACUCAGGAGGCCGAGGCAAGAGGAUUGCAUGAGUCCUGGGCAACAGAGUGAAACCCAUUUCUACUAUUUAAAAAACACUAAUAAGAAAAAAUAGAUAAGCAGAAAACAAAAAAAUUAAAAAUCCAACGCCUUUAAUCCCACCACCCAGAGAUAACCACCAGUAAUAUGUUGGAGUCAGUUAGCCGGUCACAGUGGUGGGGGGCCUGUGGUCCCAGCUACUCGGGAGACUAAGGUGGGAGGAUUGCUUGAGCCAGGGAGAUUGAGGCUGCAGUGAGCCGUGAUUGCGCCAAUGCACUCCACCCUGGGCAACAAAGCAAGACCCCAUUUCAAAACAAAACAAACAAAAAACCAUUUUGGAGUCAGCUAGAUAUUAUUCUAUUUAUCUCUCUCUACACACACACACACACACACACACACACACACACACACACACACACACAUAUGUAUAUAUAGAGAGAUCUCCACAGUGUUUUAUAAUAUACUUUUCUUAAUAGACAAUUUUUUUUUUUGAGAGGGAGUCUUGCUCUGUUGCCCAGGCUGGAGUGCAGUGGUGUGAUCGCGGCUCACUGCAACCUCCACCUCCCAGGUUCAAGCAAUUCUCCUGCCUCAGCCUCCUAAGUAGCUGGGAUUACAGGCAUGUGCCACCACAGCUGGCUGAUUUUGGCAUUUUUAGUAGAGACGGGUUUCACCAUGUUGACCAGUCUGGUCUCAAACUCCUGACCUCAAGUGAUCCACCUGCCUUGGCCUCCCAAAGUGCUGGGAUUACAGGCGUGAGCCACCGCACCCAGACAAUGGACAAAUAUUUUGAACAUCUUUUGCUGUCUAUAAUACGUUUAUACCACACAAUUGUUAAUGACAGCUUAAUAUUCCAUCAAGUGGACAUGUCUAAAUUAAUUUAAAAAGUUUCCUGGCCAGGUGCGGUGGCUCUUGCCUGUAAUCCCAGCACUUUGGGAGGCCAAGGCGGGCGGAUCAUGAGGUCAGGAGUUUGAGACCAGCCUGGCCAACAUGAUGAAACCCCAUCUCUACUCAAAAUACAAAAGUUAGGUGGGCAUGGUGGCGCACUCCUGUAGUCCCAGCUACUAGGCAGGCUGAGGCAGGAGAAUAGCUUGAACCUGGGAGGCAGAGGUAGCAGUGAGCCAAGAUCUCACCUCUGCAUUCAAGCCUGGGCAACAGAGUAAGACUCUUCUGGAAAAAAAAAAAAAAGUUUCCUUUGUUGUUGAUUUUUUUCCAGAAAUAAAAGCUUCAUGAACAAACCUGUAACUUCCACCUUUGUGCACGCGUCUAAUUAUUGCCUUAGGAUAAAGUUCUGGUAACCAGAGGCUAGGAAUGCAUAUUUUUAUCUCUGAGGAGCCAGGAGCCCAGGCCUCUGGGCAGUGCUCUCACCUCUCCUCCAGGCAGCCCUCCCAGACCUCCAGGGUUGAGUACAUCUCCCAUGGUCCUUUCCUCUCCAAGUAACUUCAUC